rnacentral:lncRNA from 1 species
UUUGCACAUUCAUGGAGGCCCAAUUACAAGAGCAAGAGCCAAAAAUAUGCAAGCUGCUUUAAAUGGAUUAAUUGAGAAAAUAUGGAUUGAAAAUGCAAUUCAAGAUGCAAGACAUCAUGAAUUGGGCUUGAAGAGAAGACAAGGCAUUGUGGGCAUUAUUCAAGUCAUUGGGCAGCCAAAUACACAAGUUGUAUCAAAUGCAGAAAGGUCAAAUUCG